UAAUCCUUCAAACGCCGCCAAACAUUUUUCGAUCGAAAACUCUUCCUCUCGCUCAAAAAAAAAAAAAAAAGAAAAAGAAAAAAAAAAAGAAAAAAACGUUCAAAUCUGCCAAGCCUGUAACGGUCGACGAACGCUCCGACGCCUGGCACGCAAUUUACGCGUACCCAUCGGCGGAUGGCGUGGCACUGUUAUCAAGCCAAGGGCUCCUCGCCACGAACCCCCAGCCGACGCCUAAGUUGGCGAGCGCAUGCGCGUGCCACGGUCCCGGAACGAUGAAAAACACUAGCGGGUUCGUGUCUGUGAACGGGCGCAAGCCGUUGGACGCUGUUGGUGUAUGGCGGCGCACUGCCACCUCUACGUCGACGCCGGCAGCACGGUCGGUAACCAGAUUGGGCUCCUCUUCUCUUCGACAAUCAAAAACAGGGGCUGGGACGAGGCGUUGUUUAUAGCGGGCGGAAAGGUCGAGCUCCUAGCUUCCCGCUCGGCUUCUAGGCUUAGUUUAGAAUGUUCAGUGGUGUGACCUCGGCCGUACAGACGACUCGUCCAGUUGAUUUUUGGGUUCGUGUCCGAGGAUUAUCGAUCGGAUACCCGCCGAUUCAGAGAUUUUUCGCCGAGGAAAAUUUCUUUAAAAAUAAAAUCUCUCUCCUCUUUAUGAACGAUAAUGGAACGCCGUGAGGUGGAUUAUCGGCUUCGAGGAGAAAUAUAUUUUUAAUUUCGUUGGAUCGAAUGGAGGAAGGGAAAAAGGAGGAGGAGGAGGAGGAGGAGGAAGAAAACGAGUAUAUCUUUGUUCGGUGGAAUAUGGAGACCAUUAUAAAAAUUUACAACCGUGCGUGUUUCCGUUUGUAUCUCAAUUUCGCUUCGUUUUUUCCCAACACGGUCCAUUUACCGUACCCAUUCCCGGCAAAUAAAGCACAAAUAAACUACUUGGAAGCUGGAUGGAAAGACGUCUGUGCAAGAAAAUGGAAACAAGCACGAAUUGGAUAAUGUCAAAGAAGGGGGAGAGGUGAAGAGGAAGAAGAAGAAGAGGAAGAAGAAGAAGAAGAAGAGGAAGAGGAGGAAGAAGAGGAGGAAGAAGAGGAAGAAGAGGAAGAAGAAAGAUAAGGAUGCUCUCGUAACUCUUUCUAAGCGCGAAACUUGUCCCGGAUGGAAAAUUAUUUCAUCUCGACGAGAAGAAUAAGUUUUGUGUAAAA